UACGUAGGGUGCGAGCGUUGUCCGGAAUUAUUGGGCGUAAAGAGCUCGUAGGCGGUGUGUCGCGUCGGCCGUGAAAACCUGGGGCUCAACUCUGGGCGUGCGGUCGAUACGGGCAGACUAGAGUUCGGUAGGGGAGUCUGGAAUUCCUGGUGUAGCGGUGAAAUGCGCAGAUAUCAGGAGGAACACCGGUGGCGAAGGCGGGACUCUGGGCCGAUACUGACGCUGAGGAGCGAAAGCGUGGGGAGCAAACAGG
rnacentral:rRNA from 1 species